UACGGCCGCAUCAUGUUAAAACAACGGUUCCCAUACGAUCACUGAAGUUAAGCAAUGUCGAGCCUGGUCAGUAACUAGAUGGGUAAAGACUUGGGAACAA